rnacentral:rRNA from 1 species
UGACCUGCCGGACCUGACUGCUAUCGGAUUGGUACUAAGCCAUGCGAGUCAUUGUACAAUACAAGGCGGACGGCUCAGUAACACGUAGUCAACCUAACUCGUGGACGUGGAUAACCUCGGGAAACUGAGAAUAAACCACGAUAGAUCAUUAUGCCUGGAAUGGCUUAUGGUCCAAAUAGUUUACUGCCAUGAGAUGGGACUGCGGCCUAUCAGCUUGUUGGUGAGGUAAUGGCCCACCAAGGCUAUAACAGGUACGGGCUCUGAGAGGAGAAGCCCGGAGAUGGGUACUGAGACACGGACCCAGGCCCUAUGGGGCGCAGCAGGCGAGAAACCUCAGCAAUGUGCGAAAGCACGACUGGGUCAGUCCGAGUGAUUCCUGAUAAAGGAGUCUUUUGCUUGUCCUAAAAGCACAGGUGAAUAAGGGGUGGGCAAGUCUGGUGUCAGCCGCCGCGGUAAUACCAGCACCUCGAGUGGUCAGGACGUUUAUUGGGCCUUA